ensembl:rRNA 5S_rRNA 5S ribosomal RNA
GUCUCAGGCCGUAUCAGCCUGAAGGCGCCCGAUCUCGUCUGAUCUCGGAAGCUAAGCAGGGUCGGGCCUGGUUAGGAUCUUGGAUGGGAGACC